rnacentral:rRNA from 1 species
UACGGAGGGUGCAAGCGUUAUCCGGAUUUAUUGGGUUUAAAGGGUGCGUAGGCGGAAUAAUAAGUCAGUGGUGAAAUCCCAUAGCUCAACUAUGGAACUGCCAUUGAUACUGUUAUUCUUGAGUAUAGUUGAAGUGGACGGAAUGUAACAUGUAGCGGUGAAAUGCAUAGAUAUGUUACAGAACACCAAUUGCGAAGGCAGUUCACUAAGCUAUUACUGACGCUGAGGCACGAAAGCGUGGGGAGCGAAC